AUCAGCCUCACCUUGGGGACCAGCCCGGGAGCCCCGUGCUCCCAGCUUCGCAAAUACCCGUUCCCAUUGUCCGGUUCUCCCUGGAACACGGAACGCUGUGAAUGCCGCUGAGAACACACACAGACCAGGCAGGGCGCCGUGGGUUCACAGACACGGCCGCUUCACCUUCACGACACAACGGAGCAGAAUGUCCUGGCUCUGGGACUCAGACAGCACUAAAAACAAUAAACCGAUUUUCUGGAAAGUCAACGAUUGAAAAUACCUGUUAUUACCUGCCUCAGCCAGCAGGUAAUCUCUCACCACCAUGGAGAGACUCUCAAUUAUUAAAAGAAAGAAAGGAGAGAAAACGAACUUUAUUUCAAAGAGGCAAAGUCUUUCUUCCAGAAUGAGGACAAAGCUGUUUAGGUGAAAAUUACAUUUGCCACCCCACGUCAGAGUGUUUAUUGAGUGGUGGCCGGGUCAGCCCAAAGAAUGUCAGAGACACAGGACGCUGAAGUAAUGGAUUGAUGGAAUAAUCUACUAAAACUGCUUCCAGAAUGUUCUGUUUGUCUGAAGUCUGAUCCUUUCUUUUUAUUGAGGGAAUGCUAUGGAUGUUUUGUUUUCAGAAUCUCGGGAACUGUUUUAAUAAAGAGCUGUGGGUCACCUAUUCUGUUUAGAGUCACGUAGAGACAACAAUCAUAGGCAAUAGCAGUUGGCUUAGAAUUUAAAAGAAAGCAAAAUAAAAAAGCCCAGAAGAUCAGGUUUCGCCCGUGUCUACCUAUAGAGGGUGAUGUGAAAAUGGAGACGCAGCCUGGGCCUCCCGCACGGUAAACGGCGACGCGCACAGCCGCGGAGUCACGGGGGAUUUCUGCCGCUCAGGGGCCGACUGUGUGAUGGGCUGACGGUACCGAGCGUUAGAUGAACGCGAAUGAGUUCUAUUUUGGAACAUCUGACAGAGACGUGGCUUGUAGGAAAGCGAUGUUUUUAAAUAAUAUGUUUCAUGCCGUAUAGUUUCUUUUCAUGAAAACAAUGAGACAAACCAACAAACAAAAGCUGAGGGAAAUUCACCCAGGACAGUGACGCAACCCGUCUGUGAGGGGAAAGACGACACUUCCAGCUAAGAUAAAAAUGCAGCAGCUCACGCUCCAUCUCCGUACGUGGAAAAUAAACCAGCAUCGCUUCAAGUAACUAUUGAUUCUGUUAUUAAAACACCGCCUGUUUGGUUUCCCAGAUCAUAGCAGUUAUUAAUGCAUUAUUAAUUCCGUAUAAGCUUCUGGCUUGUCAUUUCCAUUAAGCAGUGGAAUAAUUGCUGAGAGGGUGGGGGUCAGGAGGUGCGUUCACACCUCACUUCGCAAUCUAGAUGGAGGCAAGCGGCUGGGAAGGCCCUGGGACACAGACAGGCACCUGGCUAUGGCAGGGUUUGUUAUGUGUCCCAACCAGCCAAGUUUAUUUUCGCAG
rnacentral:lncRNA from 1 species